GACGAACGCUGGCGGCGUGCCUAAUACAUGCAAGUUGAGCGCUGAAGGUUGGUACUUGUACCAACUGGAUGAGCAGCGAACGGGUGAGUAACGCGUGGGGAAUCUGCCUUUGAGCGGGGGACAACAUUUGGAAACGAAUGCUAAUACCGCAUAAAAACUUUAAACACAAGUUUUAAGUUUGAAAGAUGCAAUUGCAUCACUCAAAGAUGAUCCCGCGUUGUAUUAGCUAGUUGGUUAGGUAAAGGCUCACCAAGGCGAUGAUACAUAGCCGACCUGAGAGGGUGGUCGGCCACAAUGGGACUGAGACACGGCCCAAACUCCUACGGGAGGCAGCAGUAAGGAAUCUUCGGCAAUGGGCGAAAGUCUGACCGAGCAAAGCCGCGUGAGUGAAGAAGGUUUUCGGAUCGUAAAACUCUGUUGGUAGAGAAGAAAGUUGGUGAGAGUGGAAAGCUCAUCAAGUGACGGUAACUACCCAGAAAGGGACGGCUAACUACGUG
rnacentral:rRNA from 1 species